rnacentral:rRNA from 1 species
UAGCUAGUUGGUGAGGUAACGGCCUACCAAGGCGAUGAUCGGUAGCUGGUUCGAGAGGACAACCAGCCUCACUGGGACUGAUACACGGCCCAGACUCCUACGGGAGGCAGCAGCAAGGAAUAUUGCGCAAUGGGCGAAAGCCUGACGCAGCGACGCCGCGUGGGGGAAGAAAGCCUUCGGGUCGUAAACCCCUUUUCCUAGGGACGAAUAAUGACGGUACCUGGGGAAUAAGCUUCGGCCAACUACGUGCCAGCAGCCGCGGUAAUACGUAGGAAGCGAGCGUUAUCCGGAUUUAUUGGGCGUAAAGGGGGUGCAGGCGGUCUGGUAAGUCGGUUGUAAAAUCUCCUGGCUUAACUAGGAGGGACCAUCCGAUACUGCCAGGCUAGAGUGCAGCAGACGGAGGUGGAAUUCCCGGUGUAGUGGUGAAAUGCGUAGAUAUCGGGAGGAACACCAGUGGCGAAGGCGGCCUCCGAGGCUGUUACUGACGCUGAGGCCCGAAAGCGUGGGGAGCAAACAGGAUCAGAUACCCUGGUAGUCCACGCUGUAAACUAUGGACACUAGGUAUGGGGAGUAUCGACCCUCUCCGUGCCGAAGCUAACGCUUUAAGUGUCCCGCCUGGGAAGUACGGUCGCAAGACUAAAACUCAAAGGAAUUGACGGGGGCCCGCACAAGCAGCGGAGCGUGUGGUUUAAUUCGAUGCAACGCGAAGAACCUUACCAGGGCUUGACAUGUCGGAAGUAGUGAACCGAAAGGGGAACGAACUGUCAAGUCAGUAGCCGUCACAGGUGCUGCAUGGUUGUCGUCAGCUCGUGCCGUGAGGUGUAGGGUUAAGUCCCAUAACGAGCGCAACCCUUGUCGUCUGUUAAUUUCUCUGACGAGACUGCCCCGCAAAACGGGGAGGAAGGCGAGGAUGACGUCAAAUCAGCAUGGCCUUUAUGCCCUGGGCUACACACACGCUACAAUGGAUGGUACAAUGGGUGGCAAUGGAGCGAUUCGGAGCUAAUCCUAAAAACCAUUCUCAGUUCGGAUUGCAGGCUGAAACCCGCCUGCAUGAAGUCGGAGUUGCUAGUAACCGCAUAUCAGCAUGGUGCGGUGAAUACGUUCUCGGGCCUUGUACACACCGCCCGUCACGUCAUGAAAGUCGGCAACACCUGAAGUCGAUGAGCUAACCCGCAAGGGAGGCAGUCGCCUAGGGUGGGGUCGGUAAUUGGGACGAAGUCGUAACAAGGUAGCCGUAGCGGAAGCUGCGGCUG